GUUAGGAAUAUUGGGCAAUGGAGGAAACUCUGACCCAGCAACGCCGCGUGAAGGAUGAAGGUUUUCGGAUUGUAAACUUCUGUUCUAUGGGAAAAAACAAAUGAUGGUACCAUAGGAGAAAGCCACGGCUAACUACGUGCCAGCAGCCGCGGUAAUACGUAGGUGGCAAGCGUUGUUCGGAAUGACUGGGCGUAAAGGGAGCGUAGGUUGUUUUUUAAGUUAAAUGUGAAAGCCCGGGGCUUAACUCCGGAAUGCCAUUUAAUACUGGAAGACUAGAGUGCAGGAGGGGUGAGCGGAAUUCCUAGUGUAGCGGUGGAAUGCGUAGAUAUUAGGAAGAACACCAGAGGCGAAGGCGGCUCACUGGACUGUUACUGACACUGAGGCUCGAAAGCGUGGGGAGCAAACAGGAUUAGAAACCCUGGUAGUCC
rnacentral:rRNA from 1 species